GCAGUGUGGCUGAAGCGCAGCUGGCAAGGGCAAGUUGAGUGCUGUCAGGCUACUGGAGUACAACAAGGGAACAUUUGCUCAGUCCUUCCAUUCAUCUCAUAUUAGUGUUUGUCUCUUUAUACCGCUGUGUCUGACAUAAUGAGCCAUGAUUACAGGUUCACCCUGUUUGGCGAGUCUCAGAAAAGAUGUGAAUGAAAGACGUGGAUACAGACAUAUAACAAGUUAACUACCAAGAAACAGAUACAGAAAGCACACACCUUCAGUAGCAAUUGAGUUGUUUACACGGCUAUCGGAAGGUAAAGUGGAAAGUGACAUCACACACAGAAAGCCGGAAGAACGGAAGGCCAUGGGAUGUGGUAUCUCGUUAAACAACGAUUACUCUUUAAUAAAGAAGACAGAGAGAGAGGCAAGUGUGUCCAUCCCAGGUAUGGUUAGUUAUUUACAGCAAUGUUUACUGUGUUUGUAAUAUUUGUGUUUAUAUUGUAAUACAGGCUGACCUGUAAAUGAACCAAUCUUUGCAGAAUGCUAGCCUUCCUGAGGAGUUUUAAUUGUUUUGUAAUAUCCCCAUUUUUACUUUGCCAAGAAUUGCACUAGCAACUUUAAAAGCCAUUAUCUUCCCAUUGUUUUUGGAAAACCCUUUCAGAACAGAGAGAUGUAUACACAAUGAAUAUUGUAAUGUGUUUGCAAUAAUGCUUACCUUAUGACUGAUGGAAUAUCUAGUUCUAGUUUCCUCCUGUGUCUUUUUGUAAUGUAGAAAAUCGGAAAUGUCGCUUAACAUAAAUUGAACUUUC